GACGAACGCUGGCGGCGUGCCUAAUACAUGCAAGUCGAGCGCAGGAAACUGACGGAACUCUUCGGAGGGAAGGCAGCGGAAUGAGCGGCGGACGGGUGAGUAACACGUAAGGAACCUGCCUCAAGGAUUGGGAUAACUCCGAGAAAUCGGAGCUAAUACCGGAUAGUUCAACGGACCGCAUGGUCCGUUGAUGAAAGGCGCUUCGGCGUCACCUUGAGCUGGCCUUGCGGUGCAUUAGCUAGUUGGUGGGGUAACGGCCCACCAAGGCGACGAUGCAUAGCCGACCUGAGAGGGUGAUCGGCCACACUGGGACUGAGACACGGCCCAGACUCCUACGGGAGGCAGCAGUAGGGAAUCUUCCACAAUGGACGAAAGUCUGAUGGAGCAACGCCGCGUGAGUGAUGAAGGUCUUCGGAUCGUAAAACUCUGUUGUAAGGGAAGAACACGUACGAGAGGGAAUGCUCGUACCUUGACGGUACCUUACGAGAAAGCCACGGCUAACUACGUGCCAGCCGCCGCAGUAA
rnacentral:rRNA from 1 species